ACCAAUAAAUGCCCUGGGAAUAUAUAACAUAAUGAAUAGUCGACAGUGAGCAUUAUUGAAAAGAGAGUUCUAUAACUUCUGGUAAACACAGAGGAUCUAACAUAAGCAUUUAUUUCUGAUCCCUUCUCAAAUACUACUAAGAUGACAGUAAAAAAAAAAAAAAAUCUUUUUUUUUUUUUUUAAGGAUAAAUUAAGUACAAUUUUUUUUUAUUUUUAUUUUUAUUUUUUUUGAGAAGGAGUCUUACUCUGUCACCCAAGCCGGAGUGCAGUGGCACAGUCUCGGCUCACUGCAACUUCCACCUCCCGGGUUCAAGCAGUUCUCUGCUUCAGCCUCCCGAGUAGCUAGGAUUACAGGCACCUGCUUGUAAUAUUAACUCACACACUCAGAAGUUUCAAGCUUUUCCAAUUAAAAUAAUUUUAUAGAUUAGUAGUUUUAAGCUCUGUUUAAUUUACAUCUAAUCUCAGUCAUAUGCUCCAAUGAUGUUUCAGUCAACGAUGUAAUGCAUAUAUGACAGCGGUCCCAAUUAUAAUACCAUAUUUUUACUGUGCUUUUUCUAUAUUCAAAUAUGUUCAAAUACAGAAAUACUUCCCAUUGUGUUACAAUUAUAUAUAGUAUUCCAUACGG
rnacentral:lncRNA from 1 species